GCGCCCGUAGCUCAAUCGGAUAGAGCACCAGCCUUCGAAGCUGGGGGUUCCAGGUUCGAGUCCUGGUGGGCGCG
rnacentral:tRNA from 1 species